UAGUUAGUCAAUGGUCAAGGCAAUAUUAUAUGAAGAUCUCUGCAUCUGCCUAAUGGUUCCAUUUGUCCGUGGGGCCGCAAAAUGUUAGUUUAUAAAAGUGAGGUUAGAGUUUACGCCUCGGGAACCCUUGGAGUACCAGUAUUAGUUGGAGCGAAAACUAAUGGCUCUAGCUUCUCCAUGCUAUAGAAUAAAGAGACAGAAAUUCAAGAAAGGCCAUGGUCACGGCUCUAAAGGCUGUUUAUCGAGACACGUCAUAUACUAUUUAUUGCCUUGUCUUUGGAUAUCCAGAGAAUAUGCCUAUGAUUAGUUAUGGUAGUAUUGUUGCUGUACGAUACCCGUGUUCAACUGAUUGGUUGCAAACUCAAAAAUAAACAAAAGGCUGGAUCAAGCAGUUUAUUUUUAUUUGUUGUGGUGAAUUCUGUUACUCGGUAAUUUGCAGUGUCUGUUUUCCCCUUACUGAUACUUGAUCCCAUUCUUUGGUGUUAUUCUGUCCUCUGAAAGGGUCAAAGAAUACCUGGAACCGUUAAGCUUGCCCUGAUUACUGCACAUCCAACUGGGGUGCGAUUUGGCAGCCUCGGAAGGUUACCCGAAGGAGGAGGAGUUAGCUGCGACUGUGGAGGGAAGCUGGUGUGUGUGACAUCAUGCCAUUUGGUCGACUUGGAGCUGGAGGAGGGGCCAAUGGUGUGGCGUCAUGGCAAUAAUGCAUUAGAUUUAGCUACAGGUUAGUUAAUCCUGACCUGCGCUUGCUGCAUGAUUGGGAUUAGAUUUGAGGUGUCUAACUCCUCAACCACAAAGGUUGUUUAGCUUAGCAUUAGCAACGGUGCAUGGAACGCUCCAAACCUAUGGCGCCCAUGAAGGCUUUGUUUUAUGGGUUCAGAUAGAAUUGAGACUUUGUCAUCAACGCUCUGAAAUUUGACACUUGGAUCUUAAUAAUGCACGAACUACACUUGUUUCGAUAGUGUUUGUGCAUUAAUGGAUAAUGUUUAAUAGUAUUUGA